UAAGCACGUCAAAAAUUUUGUUAUACCAGGUAUACUGAUGAAUUCACCAUUAAUAAUAGACCCUUGAGAGAGUAAUUGUUUAUGCUUACAUCACUCAUAAUUAACUAAUUCAUCACCAAUCAUGCAAAAUCCAAAUACAUGGACUUCUCAUAGCUAGUAAUAAUACUAGGUAGAGUACCAAACUAUAUUAUCCCCAAAUGAACAAGAAUAUCCUAACUUGUCCACACAAGGAACCGAAAUUGAAUUUCGUUGAGAAGACGGUACAACAAAAGUCUCAAACAAAUCCAAAUAGCAAUCAAUCUUAAAUUGUAAUCUAAAAUUUCUAAUAGCAUCCACUGUAACUUUAUUGUCCCCCGCAUAAAUGAAGUACUUCUCCUUCUUACUUGGUGGUUACUCGAUAGGAAGCCCUGUCCCGCAUUAACCUCUCUUUCUCUUGCACACAGUGAGAUAUGACGUUAUUGUGAGACCAUUUGUAUUUUUGAGUUUUAUAACUCAUUUUCAAAUUCCCAAAGUGUGCAUAAAGAGAAAUCAAAACCAAGUGCACUGGUAAGUCCUCAGACAACUCUACCUUAAAUGAUUUGAGUUUUGAAGUAAGAUUAGACAUCUCAAUAAUGUACUCCUUUAUGUCCCUUUUUCUUUUACACUUUAUGAAAAUGAGUUUAGCCAAAACAUUAUUUGCCUUUGAUUUCUUAUGUAGAAAAUUAUUGAUUAACUACCUCCGAAACCCUUUAGCACUCUCAUUCUCAAUAGUAAUGCCCAGAAACACAUUUGGAAUAGAGUACUUCAUGAUCAUUAUGCCCAUUCAGUUAAACAAUCCCAUAUUUCUAUUUUAACCUCAUUGAUAUUUUCCAGAAUAGAUACAAGACAUUUCUCCCGCAGAGCAAGAUCCAAAUUCAUACAACCAAGAACAACUUCCUUGGUGUCUUUCCAAACCUUAAAGUUGUAUCAUUCAGUAGUGGAAUAUUAUUAAUUUGAGUAGACAU
rnacentral:lncRNA from 1 species